UUGAUGCACGUUCGUUGAAGCAUCCUCGACGACUGACACGCGUUGAACUAAUGUUAACUGGAAGAUGGCGUCGUCUUGAUGGCGAUGAAUUGGAGUGACGGACCCGCGAAUAAAGUAAAAUUUGGAAUUUUCUUUUGCAGGUGGGGAUGUAGCGUUUUCAAGGUCGCGAUGACCUAGACAAAUUUUCGAAACAGGAAAAUGUUCAAACGGAAGUACAUACCCGCCUUCAAAAAGAGUUCCCACAUUCUACUUCGCGUUACAGUUCGUUACUCUGACGUAAUUGCAGAAUAAGGGAAAGUAUACGAAGACUACCUAUUGUCAUAUUAAUCUAUAAAUUAAAUGUACUCCAUAUACGAUUAUGGAAUUCGAUUUAACUGUAAUUAAUAAAAAAAAAAAAAGUGCGAUGUUGAACGGAUCAAAUUAUACGAAGUAUGUGUAAUGGGACGAUUUUAUGUAAUGUUGUAUUCGAACAAACUCUAGAGCGUCGAAGUCUAUGCUUGAAGCUGCCGCGGAAGUCUGUGAUAAGCCAAUUAACAAUUUUCUGCAUUACAGAAGUUUUCUACACGUUUUUUUUUUUUUUUUUACAAAUGUACUUCUGUUAUUCAUGUUUCCUCGUACAUUUCGUACCUUCUGACAACGAUCUACAGAUACAGUCACAUAAGAUAAUGGUAACAUUCCUUCGGGAGCAUUUAUGGUUUGUCCUUAAAAGUAUUUAUUUUACGCGCAGACUGACUAUUAGUAUUCACGAUAAAUGUAUAAUAUUCCUGUCGAAAUAAAGAAUAUUCGUAGCGGUAGUACCGUCUUUCGCUCGGUGUCACUCGAACUCCCAGCGUUAAAGUUCUUCGUCGCGAAAAUAAGCAGUAUUGUACGUAGGUAUACGGAAUACAUCAAGAAAAUAAUACAAGAACGAAGGAUGGCGGCUCGAGUGCUACGAGGAACAGGAGAAGCGUCCGACGAAGAGGAAAUACCUGAAAUCCGGAAGAUUGCAUUGGGUUUUAUAUAAAAUGUUACUUUUACCACUACUGCGUAAGCAAAAGAGUUUUAAUCCACUCUUGAUUUAUCAUGCUUGAGCUGCAGCGGCCACUGCUAGUUUCUUUAAUAAACGAAUUCCGCAGGACUGCGUUCUAAGUUCACGAACCUCUGAGUCCUCGUCCUUCUAACCUCGUGCCAUUAUCCCAAUGUGAACUUGCCGAUCCGACUGCUUUCUUUUCUCUGAAAAACGUGUCGAGAACGGUAACCAUCGCUUCAAGCUUGUCGCACAACUCCAGUUAUGGAGUAGCAUUAAUUGCCAUUAAUCCAGGUACGGCUGAGACCUCGCAGAAGUAUUUAGAAAUGCGUUGGAAGUUUGUCUCGAAUGUAAUUUUUAAUUCUCCGUUUCCGCGUCGAGUAUAUCAGUUCUUCCAGAGGGCUGUUUUGGAGAUCCCAAACUGGUUACAGUAAAAUCAUUUUAGAGGUAGCCAUACCUGGGUUAAAAAUAGCGCAAAAAGAAAACUUUCGGCACGUUAAUCGAGAGAGAGUCCCUCGAGGCUUUUCGUAGAAGAAGCUGUUUCGCUGGUCGAGGAAGCCAAGCCUCUUUCAUCACUAGCGCUCAACGCGUGCUCGCGUCUAACUUGGUCCCUCUGUUUUCAGCCUACCGGAAGAUGUACAUGGGCGACCAGGUUCUCGGCUACACGUGCACAAUGUGCAGCAAAUUCUACAAGAUGUGGAGCAACUACUUGAAGCACAAGUGCGAACCGCCACAGUUCAAGUGCCCGCUCUGUCCGUUCGCCGCGUUCAAGGCUUUCAUUCUUCACGCUCACCAGGCCGAGCAGCACUUCAAGGUCACCUCGCCGAACACGUGAACCAAUCGAACGCGAUAGGUGAACGCCGCAGCCAACGCGCUAUCGAGUUGCCUUAAUCCGCGUCGCAGCUUCUUCGUGUCUAAUCCACCCAGUCCCAGGACGUUCCUCCCACGGUAGACAGGAACGGUUUUCCGAAACGAACACGAAGAAAGGCGAGGAAGGUGGAGCGCGCGGAAUCUAACUAAAUACUUCCUCCUUCGCGCAGGAAACUUGCGGCGGCGAUGCCCGUAAUUAUCUUGCUGCGCGGCCAAGAUGACGAAAAUACGACUCAUCGGUCUAUUUUCCAUCAGGACAAUAAUCUGCGCGCAGGGAUGGGUGAACUUUGGAUGCAAAAUUUUGGACAGAUCCCCCACAUCCUCUAAAAAAUCUUUCGUCAUAAAUUUGAAGACAGGUGUUAGCACGUUCAGUACUCGUCCUACGUGCUGAACACCCGCAUUCGGUAUUCGGUAUUCGAGAUGUUCCUCGAUGUUUCAAGCCCAUUCCUGUGACAGACAAAUUUUGAUUUCCUUUACGAUGAGCGCUUUAUUAUUAAAUCGACGCUACGCUUGCUACAUCAAGUGUUCGCAAGCUAGCGAACACCUCGACGGACUGAUCGCGCGUAAUGCUUAAAAAUCUUUUCCUAACUACCGUAUCGUUCGCGUCAAGCGACAAAUACCUACUGUCACUCUUUCGCAACAUAGUUCGCGCUAACUUUAUAGGUUACGUAGAACGCAAGGUUUCUCGGCUGAUGAAUUAGCCGUAAGCAUUAUCCAUUAGCAAAUCCUUCUCGCGCCGCUGGUCUCGAUUAACGUCCCCCAAUGCUUUGUUUCAUCGCGUGAUCCUCAGGUUCAUUCAGUUGUACGAUUCGAAGACUCGUCUCGAAACUAGAAGCAGAUUGGUCAAAUUGUAAUUGCGUUACAAAUCCCAAUCGUUGGUUGUUUUGUAAAAUGCGUAACUGAUUUUACCGCUUGGAUUUAACCCUCUGUACCCGAACCACCUACAUUGUCAUUAAGUAACUUAUUUACAACAACCGUCGAUCACAAAUUUUUAUAUAAUCGAUUGUUCCUAUCAUCGAUACCUUCUUGCAUACUUUUUUCAGAAGUCAGAUAUAACUUGGGUUACAGGGGGUUAACGACAGGCGAAGACGAUAGAGGAAAAGCGUCGUUCAUUGGCGCGCGCGCCUGAACAUAACUCGUAAUCUCUAGUAAUCUCGUAAAUGCAUGUAUUUUCGUAAAGCCAAAAAUAAAGAAUCACUGCAAGAGUAUUUGCAAACGAAACGAAGGGGCUGUCAUUUGUUGGACGAGAGGCGAAAAGAAGCUUUCGUUUCGCAACCACCUCCUCUUAUCGUUCGAACAGGCAAUCGAAAACCACGUUCGAUCGAACGUCCCAACGAAACGCCGUCCUAUCGCAGGAGGAAUAGACGACACGGGUUGAUUCGAUGGAAUUCCUAAUAACGAACGAUGAAUUUUCUGUGUUUCAGCCAUGGUCUAUCCUUGCAGUUCCUGCGGCAAAGCGUUCAAAUGGAGGAAGAGCUUGGUGCGGCACGAGCGCGAAGAGUGCGGGAAGAAACCCUACCAUUGUCCUCAUUGUCCUCGCGAGAUGAACCUGAAGGACAGCCUGAUCCGUCAUUUGCGCGUAAAGCACGGCCAGGAUUGUCGCGUUAGGACGCGAGUCGUGCACCGUCCGAAUUCGCGGAGAGUAGACAGUUACCUGGGUUCUACGAUGGACGGAGAAAUUAUACGACUGCCCAGGAAACGAAUGAAAAGUCUACCCUUUCGAUAUUAACUUUACGCUUCUUCACUUCUCGCAACGAAUUCUUCCGGUUAAGAACCAUUCAUGGACUGCUAUGUGUUUCCACGAAUGCUGCGAGUGCAAGAGGAUGUACAGGUCGAGAAUGGCUCUAAAUCGACACGUCAGAGAGGAGUGCGGCAGGGUGUUGUAUACGUGUCCCUUCUGCCACAGUAUCAUGCCCAUGAAGUUCAACCUCCUCAACCACCUGAAGAAGGAACACGGCUGCGUGCCGAAGACGUAAAUUGAAAUGUUUCAACAAUGAUCGUUCGUCGAGAAAUAUCGCGAUCAGACUCUUUAUAACGCCAUUGCGGUUCAAGCGAUAUGUUGUUCCUAUAAAUUAAGGUUGUGUGUGCACUGUCUCUUGGAUAACCGAUCGCAAAGUGGUCUGGCACGGUUGUUCAGAAAAGGUAGCUAUUGUUUUCCAGGUAGGUUAUCCGGAACAUGGUACGACUGUUUCGUUAUCAUCGAGCGCGUUCAAUGUAUCGUUUAUUUCUUCGGUUCUGUUAACUAUGCAUUUGAUUUAACAGCACUAAUCUGUGGUCGAGAACUUUUGUGAGCGUUGUCCGCGUUGACGGUCUAUGGAAACAUGUUGAAUAUGUACAUAGCGCGUGUGUGCGUCGCGAGACGAUAAAAUAGACUUUAUUUUUACAAGCUGCACUUAAAACUAAGAUUUAUUAUAAAACGGACCAGACGAGCUCCGAGUGUCUUUUCGUGCGUUAACGUUUCGCUGUUUCCUUUCCUCUCGAUCUAACUCUUAACUAACGACAAACAACAAUGGAUGACGAUCUGGUUGAAAGCAUGUAUCGCAAUUGUGUAGCGUGUAUUACAGGCACGUCGUUUUAAGAUAACAGCAUCAAUAAAGUGACAUCGAAGCAUCGUUAUACGUAAUUGCAGUCGUGUAUCUUGACCUCGUUUUUCUUUCUCGUUCAAGAACAGACUCCGAAGGUACGCUGGAGCUUGUGCGGCGUACUAACACGUGCAUGAGGAAUCGACUCGAGUGAAUCGCAAACUUGUGCCUUGCUUUUAUUUUAACGUGCGCGCUUGAUUUAUUAUUCUUUGUUAUUUAAAGACAGGCGAUAAAGACGAAAAAGAUACACAAGUGGAUUUGACGUAGCUUGCUUUUGAAGUGCAGAUAUGUAUAGGAAGCUUGAAACAUCUGUCUUUGGUAGGCGGAUUUACGUCAAUAUUUAAUGUUAUUUAUUGAUUAUCUCGCCAUUACUUUCAUGACGUUUGCGAGCGAGUUAGGUUUAAGGAAACUCACACGAUGCUUCUCGUCCUCUUUCUCUCCGCUAAAUUAAUAAACACGGUUUCACGUUGCUCCACUGA